UAGGGAAUAUUGCACAAUGGACGAAAGUCUGAUGCAGCGACGCCGCGUGAGUGACGAAGGCCUUCGGGUUGUAAAGCUCUGUUCUCAGGGAAAAAGAAAGUGAUUGUACCUGAGGAGAAAGGACCGGCUAACUUCGUGCCAGCAGCCGCGGUAAGACGAGGGGUCCAAGCGUUGUUCGGAAUCAUUGGGCGUAAAGCGGGUGUAGGCGGCUCUAUAAGUCAGGAGUGAAAGCCCCGAGCUCAACUCGGGAAGUGCUUUUGAUACUGCAGAGCUUGAAUGUGGGAGAGGGUAGUGGAAUUCCAGGUGUAGUGGUGAAAUACGUAGAUAUCUGGAGGAACACCGGUGGCGAAGGCGGCUACCUGGCCCAACAUUGACGCUGAGACCCGAAAGCGUGGGGAUCAAACAGGAUUAGAUACCCUUGUAGUCCC
rnacentral:rRNA from 1 species